rnacentral:rRNA from 1 species
UACGUAGGGAGCAAGCGUUGUCCGGAAUCAUUGGGCGUAAAGAGCGCGUAGGUGGCUGCAUAAGUCCGUUGUGAAAGUCAAAGGCUCAACCUUUGAAAGCCGAUGGAUACUGUGGAGCUAGAGUACGGAAGAGGCGAGUGGAAUUCCUGGUGUAGCGGUGAAAUGCGCAGAUAUCAGGAAGAACACCCGUGGCGAAGGCGGCUCUCUGGGACGGUACUGACGCUGAGACGCGAAAGCGUGGGGAGCGAACAGG